GGAGAGAUGGCCGAGUGGCUUAAGGCGCACGCUUGGAAAGCGUGUGUAGGGAAACCUACCGUGGGUUCGAAUCCCACUCUCUCCGCCA
rnacentral:tRNA from 3 species